rnacentral:rRNA from 1 species
AGAGUUUGAUCCUGGCUCAGAUUGAACGCUGGCGGCAUGCCUUACACAUGCAAGUCGAACGCGAAAGGGGGGGCAACCCCCCGAGUAGAGUGGCGAACGGGUGAGUAAUACAUCGGAACGUAUCCAGUAGCGGGGGAUAACCUCUCGAAAGAGAGGCUAAUACCGCAUACGACCUACGGGUGAAAGAGGGGGAUCGCAAGACCUCUCACUAUUGGAGCGGCCGAUGUCGGAUUAGCUUGUUGGCGGGGUAAAAGCCCACCAAGGCGACGAUCCGUAGCUGGUCUGAGAGGACGACCAGCCACACUGGAACUGAGACACGGUCCAGACUCCUACGGGAGGCAGCAGUGGGGAAUUUUGGACAAUGGGCGCAAGCCUGAUCCAGCCAUGCCGCGUGAGUGAAGAAGGCCUUCGGGUUGUAAAGCUCUUUCGGCGGGGACGAAAAGGUCCGUGUUAACACCACGGAUCCAUGACGGUACCCGCAGAAGAAGCACCGGCUAACUACGUGCCAGCAGCCGCGGUAAUACGUAGGGUGCAGGCGUUAAUCGGAAUUACUGGGCGUAAAGCGUGCGCAGGCGGUUUGCUAAGACAGGUGUGAAAUCCCCGGGCUUAACCUGGGAACUGCGCUUGUAACUGGCAAGCUAGAGUGUGGCAGAGGGGGGUGGAAUUCCACGUGUAGCAGUGAAAUGCGUAGAGAUGUGGAGGAACACCGAUGGCGAAGGCAGCCCCCUGGGCUAACACUGACGCUCAUGCACGAAAGCGUGGGGAGCAAACAGGAUUAGAUACCCUGGUAGUCC